GGGGCCAUAGCUCAAUUGGAUAGAGCAUCGGUCUACGGAACCGCAGGUUGGGGGUUCAAGUCCCUCUGGCCCCG
rnacentral:tRNA from 2 species